AGUGAUGGGAUGGCCCUGUGCAGGACGCCGACACGAAAAGAUGAAGAGUUCAAUCCGUGCUGUCUGAACUCACAGUGUAGCAGGCGAGAUAGACGGGAAGAUCGGUAGGGUGGGAGAUGCCGGAAAGGCUUCCCGUGAGACUGGAUAAGAAAUCAAAAAUCUGGUGAAAUUGCCGGCAAGAGGGAGUUAAGGACAUUCCAGGCAGAGGCAAGUAGAGACAGGGUUUCACCGUGUUCGCCAGGAUGGUCUUGAUCUCCUGACCUUGUGAUCCGCCCGCCUCGGCCUCCCAAAGUGCUGGGAUUACAGGCGUGAGCCACCGCGCCCGGCUGAGUCCUGCCUUAUUUACUCUCACUUUAGGAUGUGGCCAUAACUGCCACAUAAUAUUACCUUUGGCUGAUGAUCUAUUCUGUAGGAAGUCUGCUGGAACUGGCGUAUCUCUCUGAUGAUGUGUGAUAUCUAACAGAGAAAAAAACAAAACAAAAUGACAACAACAAAAGCAAAGAAAGGCAUCCACCCACUCCCCUCAGACCUCAGCAUGGGCUGGAACCUGACUCUGAACCUAACAGAUGGAUUGGAGGGCAGUGAG
rnacentral:lncRNA from 1 species